rnacentral:rRNA from 1 species
UACGGGGGGGGCAAGCGUUGUUCGGAAUUACUGGGCGUAAAGGGCUCGUAGGCGGCCAACUAAGUCAGACGUGAAAUCCCACAGCUUAACUGUGGAACUGCUUGGUAUACUGCCAGUCUUGAGCCAGCUAGGGGCUACCGGAACAAAUGGUGGAGCGGUGAAAUGCGUAGAUAUCAUUUGGAACGCCAAUGGUGAAAACAGGUAGCUGGGGCUGUGCUGACACUGAGACACGAAAGCCAGGGGAGCAAACGGG